AUGAGGCACUAUUUUAUGGAGAAUCCCACAUACCCGGAGUCGUACUUUCAUCGCCGGUUUAGGAUGAACACCGAGUUGUUCAGACGCAUUGCAGAGAAACUAGCGAGCCAUGACCAGUUUUUUCAGCAAAGGAGGAAUUCCGCCGGAGAGCUCGAGCAUAGCACCUUUCAGAAGGUGACAACCGCUUUACGUAUGUUGGCAUAUGGUAUCCCGACUUAUCUAGUUGAUGAUCACUUGGCCAUGGGCGAGAGCCAAGCCAUCAUGUGUGUCAAGCGCUUCGCAGUCAAAAUUGUGCAAGUGUUUGGCCAGGAGUACUUGAGAUCUCCCAAUGCUGACGACACUGCAAGGCUAUUGAAGAUGAACAAAGCUCGCGACUUCCCAGGUAUGCUUGGCUCAAUAUAUUGCAUGCAUUGGAGUUGGAAGAAUUGUCCAAAGGCAUGA
rnacentral:rRNA from 1 species